AAAGUCGUAACAAGGUUUCCGUAGGUGAACCUGCGGAAGGAUCAUUAACACGUAUCCAAACGUUAAACCCCCCUGUGAACCUUCAUUGCGCUCGGACUUUUCCACGUCAUAAACCGGCUAGGGACCUGGUAAAUCAUCGCCGAACAGUUUUGAUUCAGGACCCUACUGGGAAGGAUCUCCCAUAGCUCGAUACAGAAGCGACCUGGCAUUCCUCUACUUGUUAGUGUCUGAAAGUGUCACUAGCAAUGUACGAAUGGCGCAGCAACGAUCGCUAGUGGCCCACACGGCCCAGGCCCACACGGCCAGCGACCAGGAACGCUGGGGCUACGGCUCCCCCUCUUAACCUUUGCAUGAAAACCGGCUCGCGCUUAAUUGUAGCGGGCACCCCAAUGCUUAAACAACUGUUAACAAUGGAUAUCUUGGUUCUC
rnacentral:misc_RNA from 1 species